rnacentral:tRNA from 1 species
UCCGUGGUGGUCCGGUGGCUAAGACUCUGCGCUCCCAAAGCAGAGGGCCCAGGUUUCAUUCCUGGUCAGGAAA